rnacentral:rRNA from 1 species
UACGUAGGGGGCUAGCGUUGUCCGGAAUCAUUGGGCGUAAAGAGCGCGUAGGCGGCCAGAUAAGUCCGGUGUGAAAGUCAAAGGCUCAACCUUUGAAUGCCGCUGGAAACUGUCUGGCUAGAGUCCGGGAGGGGCGAGUGGAAUUCCUGGUGUAGCGGUGAAAUGCGCAGAUAUCAGGAGGAACACCAAUGGCGAAGGCAGCUCGCUGGAACGGUACUGACGCUGAUGAGCGAAAGCUAGGGGAGCAAACGGG